GCUUAUUCUCUCUUGACUUCAGCACCUUCAUACAAUGUGCAACCACUGAGCUGAAUCCCUGUCGUAGGUGUCUGCGGAGGGCGGUUGGUGCCCAGGUGGUCCUAGGCCCUUUCUAGGAAGAAGGGACUGUGAGAAGCAGAGGCCAAGACAGGAUUCAAUGUGCCCGGAUUGUUCUGAGGGAAGAUGCCUGUGAAAGAGAAAAUGGGGCCAUAGGUCACGAUCCCUGUCUGACCCAGAGUGAAGGAGAGAGGGGGGUUUGGAGGGACUGUUGUGGGGACUCCUCCAGAGAGCUGCCCCUCAGAGGAGCCCACCUUUGUGCCGCUACCACGCUCGGCCGUUGGCUGGGAACUGGGCUCUGCGCAGAAGGGCAGGGAAGGGUCUCACCGCUCUUCUGCUGCCCUCAGCCAUCUGUUCCUUGAGCUGGAGUUACAGCAGGGAACUUCUUUUCACAGUCUUCGCACGUUCUUUCUAUGGAAAGUUAUCCUGGCUUGGGCUGUGUGCCUUGAGGGGAAUGACCCGGUGACUUGCCCUUGGCUGACUGUGACAGAUGGAGUCCCUGAGCCAAAGGCAGUCAGCAUGGGGCGAGUUUAUGGGAAACCCUGCCUCAUCUGGGUGUUCCUUGUUGGCUGGGGACCACCUGGCUCAGCCAGAAUCUCCCUGGGGCUAGAGGAAGGUGAAAUGGGGACAGAGAGAUGGAUUCCUCCAGAAAAGGACCAGAACCUCCUCCCUGAGUUCUUCCCCUUCAUGGAGACCCUGGGAACUCAUCACAACUGGCUGCAAAGAGGUUUCCGGUGCCUCCUGACUCCUGAGUGUCCAAGAAAACUAGCGCCUGCCAGGGCCAUGCUGAACUGCAGACAAUGCUGCUGUGAACAUCUGUGGAUAUGUCUCUGUGCACACGUGCAAGGGCUUCUCUAGGAGCAUGUGGGAUCUUAGUUCCCCGACCAGCGAU